rnacentral:tRNA from 1 species
GCGGAAAUGGCUGAAUUGGUAGACGCACCAGAUUUAGGUUCUGGCGCCGCAAGGUGUGAGAGUUCAAGUCUCUCUUUCCGCACCA